UUAGCGGCGGACGGGUGAGUAACACGUGGAUAACCUACCUAUAAGACUGGGAUAACUUCGGGAAACCGGAGCUAAUACCGGAUAAUAUAUUGAACCGCAUGGUUCAAUAGUGAAAGACGGUUUUGCUGUCACUUAUAGAUGGAUCCGCGCCGCAUUAGCUAGUUGGUAAGGUAACGGCUUACCAAGGCAACGAUGCGUAGCCGACCUGAGAGGGUGAUCGGCCACACUGGAACUGAGACACGGUCCAGACUCCUACGGGAGGCAGCAGUAGGGAAUCUUCCGCAAUGGGCGAAAGCCUGACGGAGCAACGCCGCGUGAGUGAUUAAGGUCUUCGGAUCGUAAAACUCUGUUAUUAGGGAAGAACAAAUGUGUAAGUAACUAUGCACGUCUUGACGGUACCUAAUCAGAAAGCCACGGCUAACUACGUGCCAGCAGCCGCGGUAAUACGUAGGUGGCAAGCGUUAUCCGGAAUUAUUGGGCGUAAAGCGCGCGUAGGCGGUUUUUUAAGUCUGAUGUGAAAGCCCACGGCUCAACCGUGGAGGGUCAUUGGAAACUGGAGAACUUGAGUGCAGAAGAGGAAAGUGGAAUUCCAUGUGUAGCGGUGAAAUGCGCAGAGAUAUGGAGGAACACCAGUGGCGAAGGCGACUUUCUGGUCUGUAACUGACGCUGAUGUGCGAAGGCGUGGGGAUCAAACAGGAUUAGAUACCCUGGUAGUCCACGCCGUAAACGAUGAGUGCUAAGUGUUAGGGGGUUUCCGCCCCUUAGUGCUGCAGCUAACGCAUUAAGCACUCCGCCUGGGGAGUACGACCGCAAGGU
rnacentral:rRNA from 1 species